rnacentral:tRNA from 1 species
CCUCUCCUUUUAUCCUUUUUUGUUAGCUUUCCAAAUUUGUUAUCUUUAU